GAUGAACGCUGGCGGCGUGCCUAAUACAUGCAAGUCGAGCGAACAGACGAGGAGCUUGCUCCUCUGACGUUAGCGGCGGACGGGUGAGUAACACGUGGAUAACCUACCUAUAAGACUGGGAUAACUUCGGGAAACCGGCGCUAAUACCGGAUAAUAUAUUGAACCGCAUGGUUCAAUAGUGAAAGACGGUUUUGCUGUCACUUAUAGAUGGAUCCGCGCCGCAUUAGCUAGUUGGUAAGGUAACGGCUUACCAAGGCAACGAUGCGUAGCCGACCUGAGAGGGUGAUCGGCCACACUGGAACUGAGACACGGUCCAGACUCCUACGGGAGGCAGCAGUAGGGAAUCUGCCGCAAUGGGCGAAAGCCUGACGGAGCAACGCCGCGUGAGUGAUGAAGAUCUUCGGAUCGUAAAACUCUGUUAUUAGGUAAGAACAAAUGUGUAAGUAACUAUGCACGUCUUGACGGUACCUAAUCAGAAAGCCACGGCUAACUACGUG
rnacentral:rRNA from 1 species